AAUCCAUAGGUUAAUGAGGCGAACCGGGGGAACUGAAACAUCUAAGUACCCCGAGGAAAAGAAAUCAACCGAGAUUCCCCCAGUAGCGGCGAGCGAACGGGGAGGAGCCCAGAGCCUGAAUCAGCAUGUGUGUUAGUGGAAGCGUCUGGAAAGGCGCGCGAUACAGGGUGACAGCCCCGUACACAAAAGCGCAUGUGCUGUGAGCUCGAUGAGUAGGGCGGGACACGUGGUAUCCUGUCUGAAUAUGGGGGGACCAUCCUCCAAGGCUAAAUACUCCUGACUGACCGAUAGUGAACCAGUACCGUGAGGGAAAGGCGAAAAGAACCCCGGCGAGGGGAGUGAAAAAGAACCUGAAACCGUGUACGUACAAGCAGUGGGAGCACCCUUCGGGGUGUGACUGCGUACCUUUU
rnacentral:rRNA from 3 species